AUAGCGCGGCGCGAGCGUAGACAUGGCCGACGCUGGUCAAAGUGUAGUGUCCUCAUCAGCUUAAUAUCUUAUACGGGUUGCAUUUGGACCUACGAUAUUAACCUUAUCUCUGCAAGUUGGCGGAGUGCUUAAAGCCUGCUUCAUCUCAGGCGCGGGUCGGCCCGGUAUUUCACUAUCUUCGGUAUCGGCCCACGUAUG